rnacentral:rRNA from 1 species
UGGCGAACGGGUGAGUAAUACAUAGGUAACCUGCCCCUGUGCGGGGGAUAACAGGAGGAAACUCCUGCUAAUACCGCAUAGCCAUGAGCACCGCAUGGAGCUCAUGCCAAAUAUCCUUUACGGGAUAGCGCAGGGAUGGACCUAUGGCGCAUUAGCUAGUUGGCGGGGCAACGGCCCACCAAGGCAACGAUGCGUAGCCGGCCUGAGAGGGCGGACGGCCACAUUGGGACUGAGACACGGCCCAGACUCCUACGGGAGGCAGCAGUAGGGAAUUUUCGGCAAUGGGGGAAACCCUGACCGAGCAACGCCGCGUGAGCGAAGAAGGCCUUCGGGUCGUAAAGCUCUGUUGUAAAGGAAGAACGUCGGACACAGGAAAUGGUGUGCGAGUGACGGUACUUUACCAGAAAGCCACGGCUAACUACGUGCCAG